UCACAAACUGGCUUACAUGUU
rnacentral:piRNA from 1 species